GAUGAACGCUGGCGGCGCGCAUAACACAUUCAAGUCGAACGGUGAUAGAGACUUCGGUCUCUUGAUCAGUGGCGGACGGGUGAGUAACGCGUGAGCAACCUGCCUUGGAGAGGGGAACAACGGUUAGAAAUGACCGCUAAUACCGCAUAAAGCAUAGAGAUCACAUGGUUUUUAUGCCAAAGAUUUAUCGCUCGAAGAUGGGCUCGCGUCUAAUUAGAUAGUUGGUGAGGUAACGGCUCACCAAGUCGACGAUUAGUAGCCGGACUGAGAGGUUGAACGGCCACAUUGGAACUGAGAUACGGUCCAGACUCCUACGGGAGGCAGCAGUGGGGAAUAUUGGGCAAUGGGCGCAAGUCUGACCCAGCGACGCCGCGUGAGGGAAGAAGUCCUUCGGGAUGUAAACCUUAGUCGACAGGGACGAAGAAAUGACGGUACCUGUAGAGGAAGCCACGGCUAACUACGUGCCAGCCGCCGCGGUAACAC
rnacentral:rRNA from 1 species